UCUUUCUUCUUUUCCUGCUCUUCUUCUCUGUUCUUUUUCCCUGCUAAAUUUCUGUGUGUUUCGAUCGAGAGAAUCAUUUGUUAUUGUAGUACAAACGAUGAUGAAGAUGGUGUGGUUCUGAUUUAGGAAGAAGAACAAUUGAAGAUUUUUACAGAUUCGGGAUAGGUUUGAGAAGAUCGAAAUUAGGGUUUGGAAAGAAAUUGAAAGGUGAACUGGGUCGUUGAUGGAUGAAGAGAAGAGGGGUUCUUGUUGAUUUGAUGAGAUGAGGCUAUUCUGAUGAUGAAUCGAAAUCAGUUUUUUUUCCCAGUAAUCUGAAGGAAUGGAGCGCUCGAAGAUAUUCGUUUCGUAGCUAUGAACUUUAUUAAAUCUAGUGUUGUUGUGCAUCUUUUACUAUAUGUAUUCUUUCUUACUCUGCAAACAACACACUUAUUUAUUCUUAGAACUUGAAAGACUUUCAUUUAUACAAUAUCAGAGAGUUUGGGUUU